rnacentral:rRNA from 1 species
AGUGAACGCUGGCGGUAGGCCUAACACAUGCAAGUCGAACGGCAGCACAGUAAGAGCUUGCUCUUACGGGUGGCGAGUGGCGGACGGGUGAGGAAUACAUCGGAAUCUACUUUUUCGUGGGGGAUAAUGUAGGGAAACUUACGCUAAUACCGCAUACGACCUACGGGUGAAAGCAGGGGAUCUUCGGACCUUGCGCGAUUGAAUGAGCCGAUGUCGGAUUAGCUAGUUGGCGGGGUAAAGGCCCACCAAGGCGACGAUCCGUAGCUGGUCUGAGAGGAUGAUCAGCCACACUGGAACUGAGACACGGUCCAGACUCCUACGGGAGGCGGCAGUGGGGAAUAUUGGACAAUGGGCGCAAGCCUGAUCCAGCCAUACCGCGUGGGUGGAGAAGGCCUUCGGGUUGUAAAGCCCUUUUGUUGGGAAAGAAAAGCAGCAGGUUAAUACCCCGCUGUUCUGACGGUACCCAAAGAAUAAGCACCGGCUAACUUCGUG